rnacentral:rRNA from 1 species
UACGUAGGGGGCCAGCGUUGUCCGGAAUCAUUGGGCGUAAAGCGCGCGUAGGCGGCCAGAUAAGUCCGGUGUGAAAGUCACAGGCUCAACCUGUGAAUGCCGCUGGAAACUGUCUGGCUAGAGUCCGGAAGAGGAGAGUGGAAUUCCUGGUGUAGCGGUGAAAUGCGCAGAUAUCAGGAAGAACACCCGUGGCGAAGGCGGCUCUCUGGUACGGAACUGACGCUGAGACGCGAAAGCGUGGGGAGCAAACAGG